GUGACUGGCUAUCUCCCCCAUGGGUCUGCUUUAAGCUGCAUGUGACUGGACCGAGUAAUCAGACAGCCAAUGUGCAAGGAGAGGAUGCAGCCAGCGUGCAAGGAGAGGAUGCAGCCAGCCUCAGGUGUCACCAGGAAAAAAAUGCAGGCCGAAUGCCUUAAGAAACAUCCCAAUCUAUCCAUCCUGCAAGACAAAAUGAUCCGCACACGAGUAGAGAGGAGAAAAUACUUGCAAACUCAUUCAACUAUGGAGGCCCUUGAAGAAUAUCCUGGGCUAAGAUUCCCAGUUAUACUCCUCACAGAAUCACAAAGCCAGCUAGAUGUUGACAUAGACCGCAGCAUCAUGACAGGAAUGGGUCAAAUCACAAAGAAGGUCAUAGAGGAAUGUCAGCGGCGAGCUACUGGACAGGACCUCUUUUGCAUGUAUGAGGAGGCCAAAUCAAUGCAACAUGAGGAGUGUCACAGAGGUCUGCAAGUCAUCCUGGGCACCUUGCUCCUUCCAUACCUGUUCAGAGAGAACCCCAAAGCACUUUAUGUGAUCAAUAGAAAG